rnacentral:rRNA from 1 species
UGGGGAAUAUUGGACAAUGUGUGCUGAAAGUCCUGUAUCCAGCCAUGCCGCGUGUAGUGAAGAAGGUCUUCGGAUUGUAAAGCACUUUAAGUUGGGAGGAAGGGCAGUAAGUUAAUACCUUGCUGUUUUGACGUUACCGACAGAAUAAGCACCGGCUCAACUCU